rnacentral:misc_RNA from 1 species
GUUGAUUGCUGUCAGUCGACCUGAUAUCAUCCUCUUGUUUAUCCUUGCAUGAUAUGGCAAAUGAAUUUUUUUGGCGAGUUAAAAGCAUAAAGUCUAUAGUAUCACCGACAGAAUAUUGCUUCAAAAGCUCAAUAUGCACGGUGUAUAAAUCCUUGGGAGACAACAUCACAAAACACAAAGGGCAUUUUUUCCAGCAGUCACCUUUAUGAUCCUCCUUGCCCAUUAACAGGUACCUCAAAAUGCACGGGAAACAAUAAAUAUGUCCACAUGAGGUAAUGAGAGGACAGAGUGGAUGCUCCAGACAAAUAGGACAUUGGACCAGCGAUGGUGUAGAAUACCUUACACAUACGAUAUCCUCCCAAUGCAGCAUUUUAUCAGGAUCCAUAUAUUCAUCUGUAUGAUAACCUGAAUCCAAUACCACAAAUUU